GAUGAACGCUGGCGGCGUGCCUAAUACAUGCAAGUCGAACGAAGAUCUAGCUUGCUAGAUCUUAGUGGCGAACGGGUGAGUAAUACAUAAAUAAUCUGCCCAUAUGACUGGGAUAACUAUUGGAAACGAUAGCUAAUACCGGAUAGGUUGAUCGGAGGCAUCUCUGAUGAAUUAAAGUAGGAUUUCUACACAAAUGGAUGAGUUUAUGGCGCAUUAGUUAGUUGGUGGGGUAACGACCUACCAAGACGAUGAUGCGUAGCCGACCUGAGAGGGUGACCGGCCACACUGGGACUGAGACACGGCCCAGACUCCUACGGGAGGCAGCAGUAGGGAAUUUUCGGCAAUGGGCGCAAGCCUGACCGAGCAACGCCGCGUGAGUGAUUAAGGCCUUCGGGUUGUAAAGCUCUGUUGUAAGGGAAGAACAUUCAGGAUAGGAAAUGAUCUUGAACUGACGGUACCUUACCAGAAAGCCACGGCUAACUACGUGCCAGCAGCCGCCGUAA
rnacentral:rRNA from 1 species